rnacentral:rRNA from 1 species
UGGGGGAUAUUGCACAAUGGGCGAAAGCCUGAUGCAGCGACGCCGCGUGAGGGAAGACGGUCUUCGGAUUGUAAACCUCUGUCUUUGGGGAAGAAAUCAGACGGUACCCAAAGAGGAAGCUCCGGCUAACUACGUGCCAGCAGCCGCGGUAAUACGUAGGGAGCAAGCGUUGUCCGGAAUUACUGGGUGUAAAGGGAGCGUAGGCGGGCUUGUAAGUUGAAUGUCUAAUCCACCGGCUCAACCGGUGAUCGCGUUCAAAACUGCAGGUCUUGAGUGAAGUAGAGGCAGGCGGAAUUCCUAGUG